AACGAACGCUGGCGGCAGGCCUAACACAUGCAAGUCGAACGCCCGUAGCAAUACGGGAGUGGCAGACGGGUGAGUAACGCGUGGGAACGUGCCCUUCGGUUCGGAAUAACUCAGGGAAACUUGAGCUAAUACCGGAUACGUCCGUAAGGAGAAAGAUUUAUCGCCGAAGGAUCGGCCCGCGUCGGAUUAGCUAGUUGGUGAGGUAACGGCCCACCAAGGCGACGAUCCGUAGCUGGUCUGAGAGGANGAUCAGCCACACUGGGACUGAGACACGGCCCAGACUCCUACGGGAGGCAGCAGUGGGGAAUAUUGGACAAUGGGCGAAAGCCUGAUCCAGCCAUGCCGCGUGAGUGAAGAAGGCCUUAGGGUUGUAAAGCUCUUUCAGCGGGAAGAUAAUGACGGUACCCGCAGAAGAAGCCCCGGCUAACUUCGUGCCAGCCG
rnacentral:rRNA from 1 species